rnacentral:misc_RNA from 1 species
AAUAAUAAUAAUAAUAAUUAAUAAGAAACGGAAUGCGAUUCUAAUAUGCUAAAAGAAAGUUAAUUAAUUAAAUUAAUCAAAAGUAGCCUUGUCAUAUAGUGAUUAAAAAUUAAAGUUUACCUGCAUGAAGUCCCCUAUGUUUACACGGGCAUGAAUAACCUGUUGAGGAGGCACAUCAACGGUCAACCCACUGAUUUUGAUCAGCAACUUGAAGGCCACCUAAGUUGUCUUGCAUCAGUAUGGUCGGAAAAGAAGGGUCUGUUGUAUGCUUGGUGCUGCCCAGCGUCAAGUCCGGGUCAGAGCAAAUUGGUUAGUAGCGGCUCUUAAAGGUCCAGUAUCCAUUCAUUUCAGUGGAACAAGGCAUUUCGAAUCUCAUUAACCACCAUAACCCGCCGUCUACAAGCUUUCAAUGCAUUCCUAGUCUAUCACUGGGACCUGCAGGAGGCUGCUGCUGCUGCUGAUAUCACUGGUUUCAGAUGAUGAUCUCUGCAGGUUCUCUGUUGGGUGGACAAAAAACCUAGGGAUCUUGGUCACACUAGAGUCGACUAAUCCUUUUAACACCAGCUUUGGUCUCUUCACUUGCUCAGCUUUGUUGUAUAUGGACCCAUUAUCUUGAUCAGGAACUGAAUCUGCAGCAGUGGAAAUGAUCACUUCCAUGCCUUCAAAUGAUGGGCAGUGGUGUAUGGGCGAGAGAGACCUGCGUCUAAAUAUAAAGCAAUUAAUGGUGGCCAUUAAUUCAAACAUAAGGGAGAAAAAAAAAAAA